GACGAACGCUGGCGGCGUGCUUAACACAUGCAAGUGGAGCGACGAACCGGGCUUCGGCCCGGGGCAAAGCCGCGAACGGGUGAGUAUCACGUGGGUAACCUGCCCCGAUGACCGGGACAACCCGAGGAAACUCGGGCUAAUACCGGAUGUGCUCCUCGCACACCCCUACGAGGAACAAAGGAAGCUUCGCCCCCCGCAUUGGGACGGGCUCGCGGCCCAUUAGCUUGUUGGUGAGGUAAAGGCUCACCAAGGCGACGAUGGGUAGCUGGUCUGAGAGGACGAUCAGCCACACUGGGACUGAGACACGGCCCAGACUCCUACGGGAGGCAGCAGUGGGGAAUCUUGCGCAAUGCGCGAAAGCGUGACGCAGCAACGCCGCGUGAGGGAAGAAGGCCUUCGGGUUGUAAACCUCUUUCAGGAGGGACGAAGGUUCAGGCGCGAAUAGCGUCCUGGACUGACGGUACCUCCAGAAGAAGCCCCGGCUAACUACGUGCCAGCAGCCGCGGUAACAC
rnacentral:rRNA from 1 species